AAUUCCAGACAUAACAACGAGAUCGUUAUGUUUUUAAUAUAUCAUCAUUCAUUUUGUUUGUUUGACAUCUGUUUUUGCAUGCUAGUAUGGAGUUAAACAAGGAGUUAUUUCAAGCAGGAUUAGCACAACAAAAUGCUCUACCUUUCACCAACACUUUAUAUGUAAAGGUAUCUUGUUUUUCUUUUUUAGUGCAUAGGAAUUUGAAUGCACAGAGCUGGAGGAGAAUUUGCUGAUGAGAAAUAUCGACAAACGUCACCAGUUGUAGCCCUGGGACAUUCAUGUCAAACCUGUGUUCCUUGUACAGAGAAACGCUGGGACCAACAUGGCUGGACACACAAACAUCAAAGAAGAAUAGAAGAAAAACAACAUCGGGAAAAGGGUUGGUAAAUAAUACGCCAUGUUUGAUGACAUAGAAGACUCUUAUUUUCGAAAAAAAUUGCCUCAGAAAAUUACCCCAGGUUCUAUAUGCAAAGUUUUGGCCGCCCAUAAGUUUUAAAUGCUGGCGUGGCUUUGUGCAACAGAAAAAAAAAAUUUCUCAUGAAAUAUUUGAACACCAUGAAACUUGUCAGUUUAUAGCAGAAGUCUGGUCCGGCAUUGCCUCCACGAUUCUACUGACCUACCAUGUUUAUAUGUCAUGCAGGUUAUUUCAUAAGAAUAAUGAGUCUUCUUUUGGAUUUGAUAGACUUACAUGAAAACCGCUUCCUAGCUUUCAGCUCAUUUGUUAUUAAAUGCAUAUUUUCAGGUCAUUGGCCAUGAAACAUUCUGAGAAAUAAGUGAGCUGUUGUUUUUCCCCAUUUUGUACGGCAGCCAUGUCUUAAUUCUUAUCAUACUGCAGUCAAUAAUUUGCUGCUGUAACCUUUGUCUAUGUUCUUAGGAUUGAAAUCUGCUAAUGGAGAUUAGAACAGCAUUAGAACUUGGACAGGUUUUAUGAGAUUCUCACACAAAGGAAGAUAUAAAUAAAUAUGUCUUGAUCUUAUGGUUUCUGGUGAGAAAACACUAAGAUGGUAAAUAUUGUCUGUUUUUGAUGGUAUGUAAUGAUGUUGGCAUCAAUAAAAAAAAUAAAAUAAAAUAAAAUUUAUUCUGCGAUUUCAAGAUAUCUGGAAUGUGGUAUGAGUAUUCAAAGGUUAACACCUCUAGAUAUUAUACGACCAUUCUACACUGACUCAAUCACAAAUAUCUGAUUCUAAAAGAAGAAAACGAAAAUAAUUUUUUCACCCCCUAGCAUUUAAACUGGCCAUAUCCAGCCCAGAUAUUCUAUUUAUUUCACAUUCAAACUGGCCAGUUCUGGCUUCUUGCACAUAUCCUACAAUGUCAUUCUAAAAAUAUGCAAUCACAUCGUUGGCCUUUUGAAGCUACAAGAUGAUACAGGAUUAAUUCGAAACAAUGUUAAAAGAAUAAGAAAAAAACCCAUCCUCCACAGUAGAAGUGUUAAGUCUGCAUUCCCCCCUGGUGAAGAGGAUUGACCUACAAGAGCCCUGUGCCACUGCCAUGUAAGAGCACUUGUGCCAGUGCCUCAUUGAAACCAAGCCAAAUCAAACUGGAACCUGGUGCAGCUUUCUGGCUUGAAGGCUUUGAUCAAACCAUCCAACCUAUGCCAGCAUGAAAGACGGAUGUUAGAGGAUGAUGAUGGUGAUGAUGAUGAUGAUGAGGACGAGACCCAGUGAGACCCAUCCUCCACAGCAGAAGUGUUGAGGUCAGUCCUCCUGGCGAAGAGGUUUUUGCCUGCAGGAGUCCUGUGACGGUGCCACAUUGAAAGCACCCAGCACUUUUUUGUAGAGUGGUUGGCAUUAGGAAGGGCAUCCAGCCAUAAGAAACCAAGCCAAACCAGACUGGAUCCUGGUGCAGCUCUCCUGCUUGCCAGCCCAGGUCAAAUCAGGCUAUGUUCUAUAAGAUAGACGUCCUUCAUAUUUUUAAGAUGCUGGCAGGAAAUGAGGUCCAACUAGGAAGAAUUUGACUGCUCUUUCUAGACAGUUGAGUAACGAUAUACAGGCUACAAGAUAGUGCCCCUCAUCCAUCCAGGAAUUCUUAUUCCAUUACCAACUCUCAGACAGCAGUCAAUAUCUUUCGUGGUUAGAACAUGCCCUACUAUGAAAUUACAGUUCUUAUUUGU